CACUGCGACCCCCCCGAGCCGCAGGCAGAGGAUGCCGAGGGCAAAGCGCGUGCGGUAAAAGCGGUCGCGGAGGCAUAAAGAGGAGCAGAAUCCAGAUUUCCCGAAUUUCAGAGGCAAUGCUUAUAUCAAUCUGGAGAGCGGGACGCUCAGCUUCACACGCUCCUUUUGCAGCAUCAGGAGAAGUGCUGACUGCUAGGUCUUUCUUGACUGGUAGAUCCCCGCGUGUGAACCAGGAGCCAUUUCUGCAUGGGACCGUCACUGGAUGCAGACUGAGAGCGGGCCAGCGAAGGGAGCAAAAGAAUGGAAACUGCAGCCAGUGAGGAACGAUUCAAAGAACUGGGGUUGUUUAGAGAAGCCAAGACAGAUGCGAGAAACCAUAAUUUUCUUCAAAUAUGUAAAAGAUUCAUUAAAGAGGAAUUUUCUCAGUAUCAAUGACAGGGCAGACAGGAAAGGAUGAGCACAACAUGAAGCUAGAAAGAUGAGGAAAAACCUUUACUGAGAAGGGCAGGUAAGCUCUCGAACUGAUCGUGCACCUCCCUGGGCAUUCUCCCUCUCUGGUGAUUUUAAGAGUAAGUUUGCCAGAGGUUUUUCAGAAAUGUAUCGGGUUAGUUCUGGCUUGAAGCAAGAGGAUGCAUUGGCUGUAUGAAUUCUGAAGGUCCCUUCUAGUCCUCCUUCCUGUUAUUUGUUUUUCUGUAGCCUCAGUGUGUCAAUUAAAAAUAGUCAAACUGGCACAAACCUGUUCCAGAGGAAGUGUGCUCUCUGCCCUUGAUUUCUCUUUUCUGCGAGUAAAAAUGGUUCCUCACUAAAUUAGUAAGAGAGUUGAUAAAGAUGGAUAAAGAAGCUGGAAUUUCUUGGAAAAUAGAGGGGAAAAGCUAAUGUCAUGGAUUAAACACAUUUGAAUUUAAGAACAGCUCUUUAACACCUACGGUUGACCAGUUUCCAGGGUGGACUCUGGAUUUACGGGACCAAAACCUUAAAUGGCAAGGCAGCGGGGUGCUGGAUCAAAGGAGGGAUUGCUGUUACAAGUUAUUGCGAAUGUUUUCACAGACUGAAUGAACGGAAACUUCAAUUUCCAGAUUAUUUAUCUCCACCUUAUUCCCUUGGAAGUAACUUGGGGCAUCCUGGAAACCAUUUAAGAAUAAUGAAAGAAAUCUGAGGGGUUGACGCACCAUUUCUUCCGA